rnacentral:rRNA from 1 species
UACAGAGGUCUCAAGCGUUGUUCGGAUUCAUUGGGCGUAAAGGGUGCGUAGGCGGCGCGGUAAGUCGGGUGUGAAAUCUCGGAGCUUAACUCCGAAACUGCAUUCGAUACUGCCGUGCUUGAGGACUGGAGAGGAGACUGGAAUUUACGGUGUAGCGGUGAAAUGCGUAGAUAUCGUAAGGAAGACCAGUGGCGAAGGCGGGUCUCGUGGACAGUUCCUGACACUGAGACACGAAGGCCAGGGGAGCAAACGGG